rnacentral:rRNA from 1 species
CCUACGGGUGGCAGCAGUGGGGGAUAUUGCACAAUGGGGGGAACCCUGAUGCAGCGACGCCGCGUGGGUGAAGGAGGGUUUCGGCGCGUAAAGCCCUAUCGGCAGGGAAGAAGAGGACGGUACCUGACCAAGAAGCCCCGGCUAACGACGGGCCCGCAGCCGCGGUAAUACGGAGGGGGCAAGCGUGAUCCGGAUUUACUGGGUGUAAAGGGGGCGCAGACGGCAAUGCCAGCCAGGAGUGAAAGCCCGGGGCCCCACCCCGGGACUGCUCUUGGAACUGCAUGGCUGGAGUACAGGAGGGGCAGGCGGAAUUCCUCGUGUAGCGGUGAAAUGCGUAGAUAUUAGGAGGA